AGGAAUGGGUACUUCAGGUAAUCUCUCAAAAAAUCUGGAUUCAGGGCAUGAAUCCAAGUCUCAGAUUAAAAACGCAGCUGGUUCCCAUGAAAGGAAUACUAGAGCCAAGGGAAGUUGACAAUAUUCAGGAAUUAUGUCUGCAGUUGGAUCCAAAGAUAAGACGUUUUGUGUCAUCUCCAUGUACGGAUUAUGCCUCAUGGAUCUGUGAGGCACUAUUAGCUUUGGAGCCAGUGGAGGUUUUUUAUAAGUGGUGGAUGUCAACAGUUUUAUCUGGUACAAUAACAACAAUUGUAGUGAUUGUGACUGUGUUUCUAACAUAUAAAAUUGGACACUGGAUUCCAGAAGCAACAGGUAAAUCAAGAACUCAGUCAGUCUCACUCUAGGAGCAUGGGUUCAGUAAUCAGAAAGCCCUUCAUAUGAAGAGCAAAAAAUAGUGUACACUGUUGGCAGGCUAAGUGACAGUCC